GAUGAACGCUGGCGGCGUGCCUAAUACAUGCAAGUCGAGCGAACGGACGAGAAGCUUGCUUCUCUGAUGUUAGCGGCGGACGGGUGAGUAACACGUGGAUAACCUACCUAUAAGACUGGGAUAACUUCGGGAAACCGGAGCUAAUACCGGAUAAUAUUUUGAACCGCAUGGUUCAAAAGUGAAAGACGGUCUUGCUGUCACUUAUAGAUGGAUCCGCGCUGCAUUAGCUAGUUGGUAAGGGAACGGCUUACCAAGGCAACGAUGCAUAGCCGACCUGAGAGGGUGAUCGGCCACACUGGAACUGAGACACGGUCCAGACUCCUACGGGAGGCAGCAGUAGGGAAUCUUCCGCAAUGGGCGAAAGCCUGACGGAGCAACGCCGCGUGAGUGAUGAAGGUCUUCGGAUCGUAAAACUCUGUUAUUAGGGAAGAACAUAUGUGUAAGUAACUGUGCACAUCUUGACGGUACCUAAUCAGAAAGCCACGGCUAACUACGUG
rnacentral:rRNA from 1 species